GACGAACGCUGGCGGCGUGCUUAACACAUGCAAGUCGAACGGAAAGGUCCUGCUUUUGUGGGGUGCUCGAGUGGCGAACGGGUGAGUAACACGUGAGUAACCUGCCCUUGACGUUGGGAUAACUUCAGGAAACUGGGGCUGAUACCGGAUAGGAGCUCCUGGUGCGUGGUGGGGGUUGGAAAGUUGCGGCGGUUGGGGAUGGACUCGCGGCUUAUCAGCUUGUGGGUGGGGUAGUGGCUUACCAAGGCUUUGGCGGGUAGCCGGCCUGCGAGGGUGACCGGCCCCAUUAGGACUGGGCUGCGGCACAGACUCCUACGGGACGCAGCAGUGGGGAAUAUUGCACAAUGGGCGGAAGCCUGAUGCAGCAACGCCGCGUGCGGGAUGACGGCCUUCGGGUUGUAAACCGCUUUCGCCUGUGACGAAGCGUGAGUGACGGUACUGGGUAAAGAAGCACCGGCUAACUACGUG
rnacentral:rRNA from 1 species